AUUUAUUGCUCUCCAACAAUACUUUAAACAAAAUGGGAGAGAAAAAGGUGUGCUCCGAGAGCGGACUUUGCGAAGAUGGCUUAAUAUCGCAUUAGAAAGUAUCCACGAAAUUACUGCUCCCAGAGCAAAGAGGAUUGCCUGAGUAUGACCUGCUGAACGUUUCCAGAAUCAUUCGCAAACGUUGGCAACUAACGUCUCCACAGACGGGGGAGCUGAACGUCGCACGUCUGGCAGGCCGCCGCCGCCGGCCCUUUGCUGUCAAAGGCGUCUGGGGAGACAGGAGACCGUCGGCGCCAGGUCCUCCCCCACCAGUAUAAAACCAGUUACCUGCAAGAUGCUGUAUGAUUAGUUACGAUGAGCUUAUGUUUCCGAUCCCUCUUGUGUCCUUUUAAAAGUGAAUUGCAUUACCCUGUAGAACACUGAUGACUGUAUUGUUCAACCCUGAGUAAACCUUGAACUGAGUGGAAAGAACUUGAUCGAUAUAACGAUAGUUCAUCGAAGGUGUUUUUGACGACCUGGUUGUCAAGACUCAAAAGGUCACAGCCCUACCUACCUAUUGUUGAUGACAGAAGAAAAAAGUUCGACGCUUGGCGCAGGUCGCAGCCUGCGGCGAGGGAAAUGUCGACGUCAGGUCAACUCUUGCCGAGAGGCAUUCUCCAUGACACCUUAUAGGCUCCAACAUAAUGACAUCUUUUCUUCCUUGUAAGUGAAAGAUUCCAGCACCAGCACUGAUUCCAAAUGGUCAUCAAGACUCCAGUCUGCAACUAAAUUCUGUUGAGGGAUUUUCAUGCCUGUGUGUACUGAAUUUUGUUCAGAAAAUUGCAACUAGUGUGUAAGAAUUGAUUAGCAAUUGAAAGUUACCAUUAGCAAAGAAAGUGUAUAGAUAUUUUUUAACUCUUAAGAAACAGCUCAGUGUCUAUCAUUUGGAUGAAAUUGACUUAUAAAACAAAAAUUUUUUAUAGAUUGUUUCAAAAUGUUGGGUUUUAAAUAAUUGAAGUAAUUAGGUGUUAACUAUAUCAUUAUCCAGACUUUUCAGAUUGUUGGCUAUAAUUGAGGGUUAAUACUAACUGUUCCCAAAGGUCUGAAAACAAUUUGAAGGUCUUUUGGAAUUAAAAUAUUCCUCUUAUGUCACAAAUUAUUGUUGUAUAAAGGUACUAUAUUUUUAACUUUAAUCAAUCCAAAUUUAUCAUUCUGAUCAUGAUUUCUUAGUAAUUUACUACAUGCUGUCUUCAACCUUAUAUUAGGGUUGCCUAUAAUUUUUUAUACCUGUUGUAUUUUUCAACAUCCAAUACAAAAAUUGUUACCUUAGCUUUUUGGGGCCUACACUAGUUUGUAAUCUCAUAUUCACAUUUUCUCUGGAAAUAGUUGUUUUUUCAAAAUGAAUAUCGCAAAAUUUUUAGUGAAAGAUGGACCCUUCUUAACAGAGGGACCCCUGAAAACUAACGGUCCCUUGGUAAAUAUGGAGUUGAAUUUGCAUAGUGUGCCAUUUUCUUGUGAUAUUUGUGGUCCGAGUUUUGGAAAGCCAUGUAUGCACAGGACGCCCAAAGGGAAGCUCAAAAAGGGGGCCCCAUUUACUUGUAAGGUGUGCUUCAAGAUGUUUCCUAAGAGGGAUCACUUAAAUAGGCAUUUGAGAAUUCACACAGGAGAGCGUCCAUUCUCGUGUGAUGUCUGUGGGAAGGACUUCAUUGAAAAAGGGCUUCUGACUAGACACAUAAGAACACAUACAGGAGAACGUCCUUUCUUGUGUGAUGUUUGUGGGAAAUGUUUUACUCAGAAUGGACAUUUGAAAAUGCACAAACGGCAACACACGGGUGAGAAACCGUACUCUUGUCCGCUGUGUGGUAAAAGUUUCAGUGAAAACGGAAAUUUCAAGGCUCACAUGAGGAGUCACACUGAUGAGCGGCCUCAUUGUUGCUUUGUUUGCGGAAAGACUUUUAGAGAAAGGAAAAACCUCAACAGACACUUGAAAGUAUGUCAUUCUUUGGAUAAGCCACUUUCAAGUGAGGAGUAUGGGAAGUUAUGUAAUCAUACUUCUAUAUCUCACAUGGAGGAGAGAAAAGCCAUUGAUAUAUCUUUUGUUAGUGCUAAGGUAGAAGAGAAUUCUCAUGUUGAUGAUUCACAAAAUGGUGCUAGUUGUCAGGGAAGUGCAGAGUAUGUAGGAACCAGGAGUUCUUCUCAAGCAUAUGUUUUCAAAGAAGAUCUUUCAACAGAUGUGCCAGCUCCAAUAAAAUCAGAACCUUUUGACAUACCUGCUGUUUACAUAAAAGAAGAAAUCAUGGAUUAGUGUAGACAUGUUUUUAAAAUUGAGUAUGAAUUUUUAAUUAGUUUGUUUACUGAAUUGUAUAUACUAUGACAAAUAUUGGUAUGCUAAUUGGAAUUUCUUUAAUAAAAAUGUUUUGCCAAUAUUCUGCAUUUGCUUAAAGUACCAAGAUUACCUAGAAAUUUCAUUGCCAAAGAAUAUGUUUUGAUGUCACAUGUUAAUUGUACGCAAAAUUUAUUAAUAAAUAAGAUUUUAUAACUGUAGAACAGAUAUGUGUUGCUUACAUCCAACUGCUUAUCCAUUAAAGGUCCUUUGAGGUUGUAAUAGAACUGAAAAUCUGCUUUGAUUAAGAUCAUUACAGGAUACUCUGCAUUUCAAAGGUAAAAUAAAUAAGGGAAAAAAAAUUAUAGCCUGUCAGAGAUGGUGCUCACACAGACAUAUACAGUAAUACCUACAGUUACAGUGUUUGAGCUUUAAAUUGUGGGAAUUACCCAGUAAUUACAUAGCUAAGAGUUUCACUCGCCCAGCAGUUAAAUUCCAAAAUUCAGAGAGGAACCACUUGGCAAAGAGCUCAGGUUGUUUCUGGCAGCUGAUGGCUACAGACUGGUUGUCAGCUGCAGUUAAGUCUGAAAUUCUUGACUUUUCAUUUUGUUUUUCAACAUUUCUUGAAGCAUUAAUUGUUUUGUUUUGGCAGACUUGGCGAUAUUACUAUUUAGAUUUAGGUUCUUUUAAGAACUAGGUAGUUUUGGAUGGAUGGAUUAUGAAAUUUAGGGAUAAGCCCAAGUAUACUGGGACCUAUUUUGAUCAUUCAGUGCCGUAGUGGGAUGAAAUAAGUAACUUAAUAAUUACUGAAAUGUAAAUGAAGGUGAUGAUAACUUAAGGGAAUGAAAACUUGAAAACCAUAUUUUAAAAAAAUAUAGAAUUUAUAUUUAUAUUAAAAUACAAAUAAAGUAUAACUGCAUAUGCUUGUAUACAUUAGGUGAUAGAUAAAAUUAAAUAUUAGUAAAAUAAAUAAGUCAAAUUUUAUAAUAGUAUAUAUCAAUCUCUUUUAAGAAUGUUACAAUGUUAUUGAUAUCAACAUCAUCUAAAAUAUAAGCAAGUUGUUUCCCUGAAAGAAAAAUUUCUUGCAGGCAGCACCAUAUAGUUUUGGACAAGAAACCAGAAUAUGUUUAACUCUACAGGCAGUCACAGCAAGCACAGACUGGAGCCUCACUUCCUUCAAGCAUAAAGCUGUUUAUUAUUAUUAUUAUUAUUGAUUGAUUUAUUAUUAUUUGUUUAAGCAGUCACUUCCGACUAAGUCCAAUCAGCUGUUAAAAAUACCAUAUUAAAUAAAUAUAUUUUUAGUCAUUUAGUUUUAAAAAAAUAAAUAAAACAUUACUGUACACAUUCAAAACAAAUUUGUAUGAAUAAAAUUAAUAUAUAUUUCAAUAGAUCUGUAUUUAAUAAAAUUAUUUAUACAUAUAUGUUUUAGUAGAUCUGUAUCUGUUAAGAAUUCAAAAAUCUUGCAAAUAUUUAAGUCGUCAUCUCCUAGAAUGUCCCGCAUUUUAGGAGAUGAUCCAAAGUAUUUAUGUCUAAUAUGUGAAUACUUAAAGCUUUCAAUUAAAAUGUGAUUCACGGUUAUUCUGGUCUGACAAGUAUCACAUUCUGGAGGAGGCUGGUUCGACAUAAAGCCAUGGGUUAACCUUGUGUGCCCAUUACGCAGCCUGCACAAAGCAACCUCAUGGUUUCUCUGCUUCUGUAAAGAAUUCUUAAAAGGAAUUAUUGUGGUCUUUAUCCCUCUUAAGUUUGUAUCAAUUGGGAAUGACCAAUACAGUCUUGUUAAAACAAUUUCAGUCCUCUUAUCUCUAUAAAAUGAAGACUGCCAAAAUUCAAAUUAGGUCUGAUUCCCUUCAGUGCCUUAUUGGUGGCAAGGAGGUUUUAGGACCAUCGCUCCUGCCAUUUGUGGUGCAUAUAGCUUCGGACAGGAGACUUCAUGUCAAUGUAUGCAACGUCAUGGAUAUCCAAUGAUUUUUGACUAAAUUCCUAUAUUACAAAUUUCUUUUUCUUGGUGCGAUGAAAAAUAGCUAAUGCUCUAUUAAUGGCAGAAAGUUCUGCUGUAUAUACCAAAGCUGAAUGAGAUAGCUUUGCAGCCUCAUAAGAAUCUUCUGUAAUUAUGGCUAGCCCAACUCCCUCUCUCGACUUGGAACCCUCUGUAUAAAUCUUAUAUGCACCAUCAUGUUCUAAAAAUAAACUUACCAUUUCAUCA